CCUACGGGUGGCUGCAGUGGGGAAUAUUGCACAAUGGGGGAAACCCUGAUGCAGCGACGCCGCGUGAGCGAUGAAGUAUUUCGGUAUGUAAAGCUCUAUUAGUAGGGAAGUAAAUGACGGUACCUGACUAAGAAGCCCCGGCUAACUACGUGCCAGCAGCCGCGGUAAUACGGAGGGGGCAAGCGUUAUCCGGAUUUACUGGGUGUAAAGGGAGCGUAGACGGCUGUGCAAGCCAGAUGUGAAAGCCCGGGGCUCAACCCCGGGACUGCAUUUGAAACUGUGUGGCUGGAGUGUCGGAGAGGCAGGCGGAAUUCCUAGUGUAGCGGUGAAAUGCGUAGAUAUUAGGAGGAACACCAGUGGCGAAGGCGGCCUGCUGGACGAUGACUGACGUUGAGGCUCGAAAGCGUGGGGAGCAAACAGGAUUAGAUACCCUUGUAGUC
rnacentral:rRNA from 1 species